ACGGUUACCGUCGACGUACUGACGUUAGUGACGUCGCGACGAGACUUGAAGCGUGCUCCUCUGAUGGACUUUUAAACGAGUGAAUACUAACAGUGAACUAGACGAUAGACUGUGAUUCGUUCUACCGAGAUCGAGCUGCUUCAGUUUAUUUGGUUUUUAUAACUAAAAGUAAAAUAAUAUGAAAUAACUUCGGCGGAGUGUUACGGUACGCCGUAUCCUUAAGAAGACCACCUGUCGACGUGUGCCGCUCUAUUGGAUGUGCCCCACACUCGUACGAGACCCUCCUCCCCACCGGCCGCUCCUCGACUGCGCCGCCUCUCGUGUUUCUCAAACGAUGGAUCCUAGUUGAAAUUCAAUGGCAAAGUGCGUUUAAAACGUGUAAUUCUGGCUCCGUGCCUCGUGAUAAUUGACGACUACUCAAUUGACCGCGCGAUCGUACUCUUGUCGACGAAUAGUGACUAACUUUAGUAUGUAACUUCUUACCUCGGAAUUGUAUGUAUGAGUUUAUACACCUAUGAUAGUUUUAUGUAAAUUAAAAUAAAAUUAUUUUAUGUAAAUUAAAAUAAAAUGAUUUUAUGUACAACCGUUACAAUUUUGUGUCUAUUACGAUUGUGUGAAAUGAAUUAAUAUUUUCAACGAUAGCUAAUAAGGGGUGACGAGUGGAGAGCGAACGCGACACGUAGCUUGCUGUUCUAUGUACUGACCGGUACCGACGCCACGACUCACACGCCGCCCGCCGUGCGAGCCACCGCUGUGAGCGAGUGUGCCCGUGUGCGAGUGUCUGUGCCAGUGCGCCUGGUGCGAGUGUAUCUGUGUCUGCGCCUGUAUAUGUGCCAGUGCGCCUGUGUGCUAGUGUAUCUGUGCCAGAGCGCCUGUGUGCGAGUGUAUGUGCCAGUGCGCAUGUGUGCGAGUGUAUCUGUGUCAGUGCGCCUGCAUAUGUGCCGCGCCCCUGUGCGAGUGUAUCUGUGCCAUGCCUGUGUGCGAGUGCAUCUGUGCCAUUGCGCCUGUGUGCGAGUCGCUUCGGCGCGCUUCACUCGCGCCGUGCCGUGCGCGGGCGGAGUGCGGUCGCGGGCGAGACCCGCGUCUACUAAUGUAUAAUAAGUAUAGAUAUAUAUGUAUGUAGUAGACUAAGUAUCUCAUUGUAUUUCUGUUGUUAUUUUCACGAAGCGUCCGAGUCAACGAUCGUUAUUCAACACUAGCUGUCGAUCGUCGACUCUGGCCUCGGCCCGUACGUAGGUACUACUUCGCUUUUCGAGUUAUUUCGUCUAAAAUUGUACAGCGUUCGAAGAAACUCCCUACUACUGUGUACCGUGGUUUGUAAAGGCGAAAUAAAGAGGAUUAAUGCAAA